GACCUAAGGCAUUUAGCAGCCGAGCUAUUGCCUGUUUGACAUUGAAAGUGUGGCCCUCCAGUAACUCACAAAGUACAGGAAAUAGGGGGAAUUUAUUUCUAAAGUACGGGGAAAAAACGCUGGAUGUUAAUAUAAGUGGUCCAGUCCAGGGAGUUCACAGACGACAUCUUCUUCCACGCGAUCUUCAGGCUUGAGAAAGGGCAAGACAAGGCCCGAAACGUUGCCUGUUACUGACCAAUUGCAAUAAAUUUUUUCACAUUUUGCAAAUAAGAGGUGCUGCAGUUUUUCCUUUUUGCUGUAUAUUUGGCCCAUGGCAAGGGCUUAUACACUGCUUUGCACUCUGCCCGAAAGGAACCUAUGUGAGGUGGUUGAAGCACACACAACUGUAUACUCAGAGCAUUUAAAACUAACAUAGGCUGUGGCGUUAAAGGAACCCACUCCAGGGUAUGCAUUUAGCAGCUUACCGGUCUGCUGCUACACAGUUCGGUGCUUCGAAUGCGAAACCGCUAAUUGCACUGCUAAGUCCAGGCAAUGCCUGGUAGUGACAGGUUGAAGUCUGAUUGACUGCCUUGCCCACUCAGUUGGGUCCCCAUAAAGUCCCCCCACUACCAGCACAGUGCCCUCCCAACCGAUAAUUGGCCAUUGUAGCAAGUUCCGACGCCCUGUCUAGUAAAUCUAAAAUAGAAGAAAUUGCGCCGGACACAAGUUUCGCUCAGUACACUCAAGCUUUAUCAAAGCAGAUUGGGUGCAAAAAACAUGAGUACCAACUGAUUAAAAAACGCUAAAGAAAGGAACACCUUGACCCAAAGAGUCUACAAUCCAAAAAGGCUGAUUUAACAAAAGGUGAGAUAAGAAAAUCAUAUUUCUUCCAUACAAUUAAAUUUUUUUCUAUUUUUCAAGUUAAAAAAUGGGCACAUCAGCACCAGUUUACAUUGAAGUCUUCUCAUGACACUUAGUCAAUAAUGUUUGACUUACCAUUAAAGUUGAUAGGAUUUUUGUACAAUGCAAGAAAAAAAUCCAUGACUGUUUUCUCAGUUGAGAAGCUGACGGAAAAUCGAUUGCAAUCAACAUAAACAUUCUAAAGAAAAGUGCCCCAAGCCUCCCGGAGCCGAGAGUUUGAUAUGGCUGUAGGCCGCAGAAAGCGUAGUUCCUGUAGUUGCCUCCUGGUUUCAUUUGUACUCCAGCCUAUAGAAUGAUUGAUUUGUUUUGACUGUGAUUGUAGGAACCAAGUAGAAUAUGAGAUUUUGCAUUCUCACAAUGAAAUCCACUGCCUGAGCUAUAGGGCACCAAGGCAAGUACCUCCAGCACAGCUUGCUCCUUCAUCACCAGGGAGCAUGGGAGUACUCACACGCAUUUGUCUUUUAUAAUAUUGUUUCAAGAAGCAGACCCAGAAAACAGAAAGAUAUAUACAAAUAUUGCUUGAAAUUGGAUUGUGUAAAAUGAUUGAGAAUGCUUUAUUAUAUACAGUAUAGUGUUUUACUUUGUUUCUCAUUACACAAAAAAUUAUUUUUUUCGCACAGAAACCCAUUAAAACAUUCAAUUUGACUUGAAGUGAAACUCCUUAAAUUAGAUUCCUAUCUUUUCAAGAUCAGCUGACAACAUCUAAAUAUAAGAUUUUUUUUGUCUCUCUGCUUAAGAAUAUAAAUGUAUCACUAUUAUUAAUUUCCUAUAUUCAUAUAGCAUCAGUAGAGCUUUACUACUACUUUAUUGGCUGGGAAAAGGGUUAAGUAGACAUAUUUGAACACCAUUAGAAGCUUUAUAUUCUACAAGCCAAUUGGUCCCAGUAGAACUAUUAAGGAUAUCGCUUUCAAUUUUACGGUUCCUUGUAAAAAAUAUAUAUUUAGUACUGUUUUGUAAUAACAAUAUUAAAUACUUUUAAAAUGCCCAGACCAACCUCUGUCUAUAACAAGGAACGGGUCAAUACAAUGGUUCAUAGACCAUGAAAUAUUGCUACACAGCAGCAGUUGGGAAAGGUUUAUAUAAUUUGUAUGUGUGCAACCCUCACUCCUGUGGCUGAACUACUACACCCAGCUUCCUUUAGUUAACUAU